rnacentral:lncRNA from 1 species
AGCAGUCAAACUUUUAAUGUUGUUCAUUUUAAACGUAAAUCUAUGUCCAUGAUUGUAGAUGGAGUGAACUUGGAAUAAACUAUUAAAAAGUGAAGGUGAGUCAGAAGAGGUAACAUACGGUGUAUUCGUGCCCCUCUCCCAAAUUAUCGUCAAAACGUUUUUAUAAUAUGUUAACUUUUUCUAGAAAAACUGAAUCACAACUCUUUGAUGAACCUUGUGUGGUAUUUGGUUGGCUCAAAUGUAACCUAAUCUAAUUACUGAAGGUAACGAAUCCCAUUACAUGUGUUUGGUUGCGGUGGUCUAUAAUCAAUUGACACUGUAAUCGAAUCCAUUACCUAAAUAAUAUCUAUACAAACUCGUUACCCCUCCUCACCCACCUAAUAAGAUAUAACACCCACACCGUAAUCUGAUUAUGUUACUAGAGUACAAUCAAACAAAGAAGGUAAUCACCCAUUCCCCGUCAAAUAUACUGCAAUCUAAUUCUCUUUGCGUUUAUGUUAUCUUAGCACCGCC